ensembl:lncRNA
GAACCCGGCGGCGGCAGUUGUCACUGGCACAGGUUUGGCGUGGCGGCGCCAGUGUACUGCUUCUGGGGAGGUCUCGACCAGGUUCUGGCACCUUCAACCCCCACCUGAUAUCUGCGUAUCAUCAGGGUAUCCCGCUUUCCCCCCAGUUCCCCAAGAGCGUCCUUCCUUUCCCUAGUCCCACGAUCGCAGUUUUGGUCUGAUAGUGCAUCCCCCUACUCCAAGUUGCAUCCCCACUACCCUCUUUCCAUCUAACGUGGUGGCCUUUCCUGGGCUGUACCUUGGGUAUCCCCCGCUGAGAGAGUAAGCACAAGGCACCAGGGAGCCAGACCCCUGCCGCUCCCCUGCCACAGGAUAUGAGUAGGAGCCUCAGCUGGUUUGAGCAGCUGGAUGUGCUUCUCAACACUACUGAUGGAAAUGUGGCCCGGAUUAAGCAGUGGCUGUAUCCUCUUGGGGUCUCCAACUCAGGUAAAUAAUGUCUCUUUCUACUUCCAAGCCCUUUCUCUUUCUGUGCCUUCCUCCAGGGCCUGUAUCAUCCAUUACUCCUUCCAAAUUCCAACUCUGUCCUUUCCUUAACUCUGUUUCCCCACACAGACCCUGCACUUAACCCUUCCUUAUUCCCUCAGCUGGGGACCUGGCUGGGACCUGGAUUUCCUCUCAUCACUUGCCUCUGCAGUCAGGAGUCCAAGCUCAACAGCCUUGGGCUUUAGAGACUCCCACAGUCCUACAAAGACUGAGCUGCCCUGAGUCCUAGAGCCCAUCCUCUCUCUGGGAUGAGGUUACUAUUCUCUGAUCCUAGCUUCAAUCUCAGGCUCAGAUGAGGCUUGGAAUCCUUGGUGUGUAUAUGUGAUGUUUGUGUGAGAUGAGGAUAUUAGGGAUUGGGAAAAGCUGUUAUACAGUAGCUCAUAUGUUUUUUUCUGCCUGGGUAGGUGACUGAGGCCCUAAGGCAGGCAGUGCAGGGCCUGCUAGAAGAGUGAGAGCAGCAGAAGUACCAGCUCAGUAUCUUGGAAUGUAUCUGGCCAGUUAUUUUCUUCAUACACACAGCUUCAUACGUAUGCACACAAUUUUGCCACACACCUGUUGUGUGUGCACAUGUGUCUUGUUUUGCAAGUAGAGUAUCUAGGGUCUUGUGAAACUCUUAGAGAGGAUGAUCCCUAACUUGUCCCACUACAGCAUCACUAAGGUUGCUGCAGGGGGCCCCAAAGGGGAGGGCUCUUCUCCUGGAGCAAUGCCGGGAGGAGCUGAGAAGGUAACUGCAGGGCCUUCGGAGCCAGGUGUGGGAGAAAGCCCAAGCCCAGAUGCAAACAGGACCAGGAGAAUGCAGUACUACCAAUGGCCUUCCUCAGGAGCUGCAGACUGAGUAAGUGAUAGGCAAAACCUUGCCUUCUUGAGGCCUUUGAACUUUUGGCAUUCUGGGAGGCUGGUGGCCUUCUUACUCUGGAUUUGUUGAUUGACUCUAGAAUAGCACUGCUGUCACUCCUACAGUGCUGUGGGAGGAGUCAGAAAUUAUGCAGAAGGAAUUGAAGUUGCUGCAGUACCAGUUGAGUAAGUAAAAGGUUGGGGGUGAAUAUGUGUUUCCUUGUCCGCUUUUCUGGAAAGUCUUCUUCUUCUUCUUUUUUUUUUUUUUUUAUGAGAUGGAGUCUUGCUCUGUUGCCCAGGCUCACUCUGUUGCCCAGGCUCUGUUGCA